rnacentral:rRNA from 1 species
UACGGGGGGAGCAAGCGUUGUUCGGAAUUACUGGGCGUAAAGGGCUCGUAGGUGGCCAACUAAGUCAGGCGUGAAAUCCCCGGGCUUAACCUGGGAACUGCAUUUGUGACUGCAAGGCUAGAGUACGGUAGAGGGGGAUGGAAUUCCGCGUGUAGCAGUGAAAUGCGUAGAUAUGCGGAGGAACACCGAUGGCGAAGGCAAUCCCCUGGACCUGUACUGACGCUCAUGCACGAAAGCGUGGGGAGCAAACAGG